rnacentral:rRNA from 1 species
ACAGUGCCAGGUGCAGAGUCGUUAAGCUAUCGAGAGAUAAGGCGUGGCGGCUCAGGAUAUACGGCAAAGAGCUUGUCCUCGGGAUUCACGAAAUUGCUCAACAGCUUCUUCAACAGCCAAACGAGACGUUGCUUGAGGCUGCUAUUGACGCUGAGGGCACCGUGACGAGAGGAUUCAACCAGCCUGUUAGGAUAAGAAUUACGCAAAAACGAGGAAUGAAGGCAGAGGCGAUUAGGGCAGUCCUCGAAAAGCUCUCCGUGCCGUAUUUAACGGUACGCAGAAGGGGAGGAUAUGUGGAGCUCGUCAUCUCGGGUCGAGAUAAUGUGAAACUUCUACUGACUAAGAUCCGGGUUAGGCAUCCGGACAAAGUCUCUAAAUUAUCCGAUCUCUGAUCUUUCUCCUCAAGCCCCACCCGCCCCGGGAAAGGGUGUGUACGGGGGCUGAAUCCUGGCCACUGGCGGUACGUGAACCCCGGGUACAACCGGGCGAAGCGCCGGUGAAGGCCGGGGGUAACUGUGACCCGCUUAAGGUAGACAGAGGUCUUGCCGGGUAAGGGGUGAAGGCGGGUAAUUAUCUUCAUGUCUGUAGCUUAUCUGUUGGGGCUAAUUGUGGGGGACGGAGGGCUGUACGCCCUCCGCUAUAGGGGCGGACGCACCGAGUACAGAGUCGUGAUCACGCAAAAAGACGAAAGAGUUGUGGAGAAGGCGGUUGUCAUGUUAGAGGCGUUGUUGAGGGAGCUGGGGCUGAAGUCGAGGGUACAAGUAAUACGCGGACGUAGUAGAACUGAGGUGAGGGUCUCUAGUAAAGCGCUUUGGCAGUUCUUCAAUAACGUUCUCUCCAACCUCGAGGGGUUUCAGCCUUCUGAGAGAGCGGCCUUUAUCGAAGGCUUGUACGACGCUGAGGGCGAUAAGUCGGGGCGGAGAGCUAGGAUUUGGAACAAGAAUCUCCGGUUGCUUGAGCUUGUAAAAAAUUGGCUUAGCGAGUUCGGCAUAGAGAGCACGAUACAUCUUGACGACAAAAGGCAUGGAGUAUACGUCCUCGAGGUUCCGUCCCCCUAUAGGGAUAGGUUUUUCAAACUCAUACACCCGCCUCAGCCCCCCGAUAGUUCCGGCGUGCAUGAAUGGAUCAACGANGUCCCCACUGUCCCGGCCCGGGGCCCGGCGAACCCACCUCCAGGUGCACAGUCCUGGGACCCCCGACGGGGCGAGAAGUCCCUGUGGAGCUUCACUGCAGCCUGUCGUUGCGGAGGGGCGGGGGAUGCAGAGCGUAGGCAGGAGCAAUGAAACGGGGUCUCCGGGCCCCGUGGAUGCGGUCCUGGAACACUGCCCAUCUCCCGCCCCUCCGCUAACCCGGGGGCAACCCCGGGGACAGCGGCAGGCGGGCAGUUCGGCUGGGGCGGCACACCCCUGAAAAGAUAUCGGGGGUGCCCAAAGCUCGGCUCAGGCGGGUCAGGACUCCGCCGUAGAGUGUAAGGGCAAAAGCCGGGCUGACUGCGCCCUUGAACGCAAGGGGCGCAGGCGGGAAACCGGGGCCUAGAGAACGCUCGUGCCCCCACCAGACCCACCUAGGGCGGAGGUUUAAAUAGGGGGAGGGCCGUAAGGCCAUGAAGGAGAUAUUGGAAUAUCUGGCAGGUUUGAAGGCCGACGGCUAUCUGUUAGUUAAUAAGAAGAGGCGUGAUUAUCAGUAUAGGAUAUACGACAAAUCUAAAGAGUUCUUACAGCUCGUGGCGGGGCUUGUUGAAAGGAUAGGCUACGAGGCGCAUAUCUACGCGAGAGGCGGCGGCAGAUGGUAUGAACUGGUGGUUUACGGCAAGGAUCUUGUGUUGUCAAUAGGCGGGCUUUGGCGUAGGCUUUUAGAGGAUCCCACCAACGCCUUUGCCAGAGGCCUCGCCGAUGCCGAGGCUUCUGUGAUAAAAGGGAAUCCGAAUAGGAUCAAGUUCACGAAUAGGGACGCGGCCGUGGCGCAAGCUUUCGCCAGAGCGUUAGCUAAGAACGU